AUUGAACGCUGGCGGCAGGCCUAACACAUGCAAGUCGAGCGAGCGGCGGACGGGUGAGUAAUGUCUGGGAAACUGCCUGAUGGAGGGGGGUAACUACUGGAAACGGUAGCUAAUACCGCAUACCCUCAGAUGUGCCCAGAUGGGAGUAGCGAGUGGGUGGGGUAACGGCCUACCUAGGCGACGAUCCCUAGCUGGUCUGAGAGGAGGACCAGCCAAACUGGGACUGGGACAAGGCCCAGACUCCCACGGGAGGCAGCAGGGGGGAAUAGUGGGCAAUGGGGGCAAACCUGACGCAGCCAUGCCGCGGGAUUGAAGAAGGCCUUCGGGGUGUAAAGUCCUUUCAGCGGGGAGGCGUUACCCGCAGAAGAAGCACCGGCUAACUCCGUGCCAGCCGCCGCGGUAAUAC
rnacentral:rRNA from 1 species